UACGUAGGGCGCAAGCGUUGUCCGGAAUUAUUGGGCGUAAAGCGCUCGUAGGCGGUCUGUCGCGUCCGUUGUGAAAACUCGAGGCUCAACCUCGGGCUUGCAGUGGAUACGGGCAGGCUAGAGUGCGGUAGGGGAGAGUGGAAUUCCUGGUGUAGCGGUGGAAUGCGCAGAUAUCGGGAGGAACACCGAUGGCGAAGGCAGGUCUCUGGGCCGCAACUGACGCUGAGGAGCGAAAGCAUGGGGAGCGAACAGG
rnacentral:rRNA from 1 species